GACGAACGCUGGCGGCGUGCUUAACACAUGCAAGUCGAGCGGAGCGGCGAACGGGUGAGUAACGCGUGAGUAACUGCACCCCUCUAUGGGAUAACAGUUGGAAACGGCUGCUAAUACCGGAUCGUGGGGGAUGACGCGCGUCCUAUCCGCUUGUUGGUGGGGUAGUGGCCUACCAAGACGACGACGGGUAGCCGGCCUGAGAGGGCGCCCGGCCACAUUGGGCUGAGAUACUGCCCAAACUCCUACGGGAUGCAGCAGUGGGGAAUAUGGCACAAUGGGGGAAACCCUGAUGCAGCAACGCGCGUGCGGGAUGACGGCCUUCGGGUUGUAAACCGCUUUCAGCCAUGACGCGGGGGUGGCAGAAGAAGCACCGGCUAACUACGGGCCAGCAGCCGCGGUAAUUC
rnacentral:rRNA from 1 species